GGUGACGGUGUGGGGCCGCCUGAUUGGAGACCGCCUCCCGCCCGCCAGCCGGGCUUCCUCCGGGCCGGCGGCGGGGACGUCGCGGGGCGCCCCUGCAGCCUCAGGCUGGCUGGGGCGUGGCUGUCCUCGCUUUGCUGAGAGCAUUCGAACCGCAGCGUUUGGCCGCUGGCGGGCGGGCGGCCUCUCGCCCGGGCAGGGCCCCCGCAGCUCUGCGGUCCGGGGCGCCGCGCCCGCGGGACGGCCAGUGAGCCGUGACUGUAACCGCGCGGGGCUGCGGCUGUGACAGUAAAAAAGGGGAGCGGGGGAGGACAGUGGGAGAAAGACAGGACUCCCCUGGGUGCUGGCGACAGGCCUGAGGAAAUGAUGCCGCCGGAUUCAAAUUAUCCAAACAUCCAGGCCGACUCAGAAUUUAAAAGUGGCUCUUAAGACUUACAAAAGGGUGUAGCAGGGUUAUUUGUUAUCGCAAAAAAAAAAAAAAAAAAAAAACAGUGCCUCAGGGGUCCAUCAACAGAAAAUGGAUAAACGGACAAAAAGGCUUAUUUCUACAGUGAAAUAGUACACAAUUGAGAAAAAAUUACAGGCAAUAUUGAUGAAUAUCUAAAACAUGUGUUUUAGGCUGAUUCCUAAAUAAGAGAUGGCUCUUUUUCUGGCUUCAUUAAGUAUGACUUCAUUAAGAUUAAAAAAAAACUUCUCUCCAAAGACAUUAUUACAAG